rnacentral:rRNA from 1 species
GACUAAGCCAUGCGAGUCAACUCGCAAGAGUGGCGCACGGCUCAGUAACACGUAGUCAAUCUACCCUGAGGACGGGGAUAACCCCGGGAAACUGGGGAUAAACCCCGAUAGGUCAUAGCUUCUGGAAUGGGCUAUGGCUCAAAUGCUAUAUGGCCUUAGGAUGGGACUGCGUCCGAUCAGGUUGUUGGUGGGGUAAUGGCCCACCAAGCCUAUAACCGGUACGGGCUCUGAGAGGAGGAGCCCGGAGAUGGGCACCGAGACAAGGGCCCAGGCCCUACGGGGCGCAGCAGGCGCGAAACCUCCGCUAUGCACGAAAGUGCGACGGGGCCACUCCGAGUGCCACCCGCUGAGGGUGGCUUUUGCCCAGUCCAAAAGGCUGGGCGAAUAAGGGGAGGGCAAGAUUGGUGUCAGCCGCCGCGGUAAUACCAACUCCCCGAGUGGUCGGGACGAUUAUUGGGCUUAAAGCGUCCGUAGCCGGUCGGGUGUGUCGUCGGUUAAAUCCGGCGUCUCAAGCGCCGGGCUGCCGGCGAUACUACCCGGCUAGGGAGCGGGAGAGGCGGCCGGUAUUCCCGGGGUAGGGGUAAAAUCCUCAGAUCCCGGGAGGACCAUCGGUGGCGAAGGCGGGCCGCUAGAACGCGUCCGACGGUGAGGGACGAAAGCUGGGGGAGCGAUCCGGAUUAGAUACCCGGGUAGUCCCAGCCGUAAACGAUGCAGGCUAGGGGU